rnacentral:rRNA from 1 species
GACGAACCGUGCGAACGUUGUUCGGAAUCACUGGGCUUAAAGGGCGCGUAGGCGGGCCUUCAGGUCGGGGGUGAAAUACCACAGCUCAACUGUGGAAGUGCCCCCGAUACCGGAGGCCUCGAGGGGGAUAGGGGCGUGUGGAACUUCCGGUGGAGCGGUGAAAUGCGUAGAUAUCGGAAGGAACGCCGGUGGCGAAAGCGACACGCUGGAUCCCUACUGACGCUGAGGCGCGAAAGCCAGGGGAGCAAAC